rnacentral:misc_RNA from 1 species
CCUCAACCGCAAGGAGGGGGAUGCCUAAGGCAGGGCUAGUGACUGGGGUGAAGUCGUAACAAGGUAGCCGUACCGGAAGGUGUGGCUGGAUCACCUCCUUAAAGGGAGACCUAAUUCGGGUAUGGGACGAAAAAAAAGUAGUCCCUACCAAGAAUCAAUCCCAAAAGGUCGGAGCGAGGCAAAAUUGGCUUUCAAACUAGGUUCUGGGUUCACACAAGACCUGAAUCAGGAACAAGGGCUAUUAGCUCAGGUGGUUAGAGCGCACCCCUGAUAAGGGUGAGGUCCCUGGUUCGAGUCCAGGAUGGCCCACCUGCACAGGUGGAAAAAACAAAAAAAA